rnacentral:rRNA from 1 species
UAUAAGUGAUGGCGACCGGCGCACGGGUGAGUAACACGUAUCCAACCUGCCGAUAACUCGGGGAUAGCCUUUCGAAAGAAAGAUUAAUACCCGAUGGUAUAAUAAAACCGCAUGGUUUAAUUAUUAAAGAAUUUCGGUUAUCGAUGGGGAUGCGUUCCAUUAGGCAGUUGGUGAGGCAACGGCUCACCAAACCUUCGAUGGAUAGGGGUUCUGAGAGGAAGGUCCCCCACAUUGGAACUGAGACACGGUCCAA